UUCCCCAAGAUUUAUAACUUUAAAGAUAAAGGAACAUAAUUAAAAUUGAAUAUAGGCUAAAGUAAAAUUUCUGAUCAAGCUUAAACAUGAAUUUUCUGUCUCAGGUGCUAAUUAUUUGAAAAAUAUGCUCAGAUAUCCUCAGAUAAUAAUAUGACAUGAGCUAAACAGUAACAGAGCAUGGUGCAUAUUGAGAAUUAUAGUUAGGCAGAUAAGUUGAUCUUCAUGAACUCCAGUCCAGGCUUCUCUUUAACCCAACAUGGGGUAGACUCCUGAUCAAAUAAUAGUUGCUACAAAAUUGGUAUCUAGUUUUCCAUCCAUUUUCAUGGGAGAUUUUUUUUUCUAUUCUCCUGGUGAUGUCAUAGGAGUUUGAUUAUGUCAGAAAUGUCACCAACACCUGGUUUUCAGGCCACAUACUUAGAUGCUGUUAUUCCAAGUGUUUUAUGGGCAUGGGUCAUCUAAUUGGACUGGAAUGCGUUAGUGAGCUUUAUGUUGAGCAGUUUCUAGAAAAACAGGAAGCAGAUAAGGUUUCUAGAAGCUCUCUGAGAACAUUGUAAACCAUUAUCCUAAAAUACCUUUAUGAUGGGAGAAAUAUGCCUUAAACUACUCUGCAUAGCAUGUCUUCCUUAGAUGAUCAAAUUAAGCUGGUCUUCAAACAAACAUGUGGGUAAUACUCUAGGUCACUGGACUGUACCACAAGGAAGGAAAAGAAAAAUGGAAAUUUCCUUCAUUAUCAGUGUAAUGUUUACAAAUAUAUAGAUAUUUUCCUGGAUCAACCAGGUUUGUACUACUAAAAGGACAACAGGAUUUUAUAAGCCAUGGACAGCCUAGUCUCUAUCUUCCUAUUUGCAUACUUCAUCCUCAGAAAUCACAGAUGGCUCACAGUUGUUUUAAAGAGAAGUACUUAUGAGACGAGCAGCAAUUAGCCAGAGACUGAGAUUAGACAGCACAAUGGAUCGUCAUGUGUUGACAUUCAGCUUUCUGCUAAUUAGUGCCACAGUGUCCAAGGGAGAAAUUGUGCUCACUCAGUCUCUAGCAUCCAUGGCUGCAUCUCAAGAGGAGAAGGUCACCAUGACCUGCAGGGCCAGCUCAAGUAUAGCCCCCAGUCACUUGCACUGGUAUCAGCAGAAAUCUGGAAGCUCCCCUACACUCCUAGUUUAUGGCACAUCCAAACUGGCUUCUGGAGUCCCAGCUGGCUUCUGUGGCAGUGGGUCUGGGACCUAUUACUCUCUCGCAAUCAGCAACUUUGAAGCUGAAGAUGUGGCCACUUAUUUCUCUCAACAGAGGCAUAGUAGCCCACCCACACAGUGAUAGAGUCUUGAACAAAAACUCUAUGCCUACCUGGAGCACAGAUACUUCCUCCUAGAGAUGAAAUAGGGCCUUAUGUUUUAUUGCAGUAAUCCAUAAAAUAAAUGGUAAUUUACAGAUUACUUACUAGGCCAUUUGCAGCUUUUGGUAAAUUAGUGUCUCCAUAAUACCCUGCUGUACUUCACUGUUGCUCUUGUUUGGCCACCAUUUGUUUAUUCUCUCUUUUGGUUCUAUUUUUGUUUCAAUGAUUUGUUGAUGGGAAAUGUAGCAGGCAUUUCUCUUCAGCUGUUUUACAUGAGAUCUCAUAGCAGUCUUCACACUUGGCUUAUUCUAAUUACACUGAUUGCAGGAUCUUUUCUGGCAGGUUGUUCUCCUUCAAGAUAGUCAGUUCCUAAAAGUAAACUGCCUUUGUUAUCCUUCUAAAAAUAGUAUCUAUCCUCUUCUGACUUCUAAUUUUCAUUAGCAGACCUUCUGUCCCACUUAUGGUAUCCUGUUGAUUUAUGCUUGAAAUGAUUAUUUCUCCAAAAAUUGAUUUAUGACUUACACUUCAGGCAAAAAUAGGAAUAAAAAAAAAUUGGUUCCCUGUUUUUGCUUCGAAUGAAGAUGCCAAUGAAUUCUCAGGGCUUUUCCUCCUGUUACCCAUAUGUCUCAAAGAUCUGUCUUUGAGGAAGAUUGGUAUUUAAAAUACAAGUACUUCAUUUGAAAUCAUUGUAUGUAAAUAUUUGUGUGAUAAAUAAAUUCUGUAUUUAUAGUAACUUAUUCAUAUUUAUUGAAUUUCUAACUUAACACAAUGUGGUAGUAA